rnacentral:lncRNA from 1 species
UAAAUGUUCACACGCCGAUGUAGCUGCAUCCCAAAAAAAUUAAUAGUCAUGUCUUGCCAUAACGAAAGAUGUUCAUAUGUGCAAAGGAUUUUCACAAACAUGACCGUGUAGUUUAGUAAUACUGGAAAAAACAAUGAAAACGAGGGGAGGAAGAUUUCAAUUGGGGUAGCACAUACAAAUUGCAAGGACGGCCCCUGAUGCAUGUCACACACAACAUUUAAUUCUGCUGCAUAUUUCAUUUCACGUGGGGAAAAGUGCUCUGAACAAUCAACUACCGUUCUCAAGUACUGAUCAUCAUCCUAAACUCCCUGCACUAAAAACCUCGGUAGUCGAUAUGACCUUGUCCUCGGCGACCGGGGGAAGAUGGACAAGACACUCUCGAGGGCCCUGGCGAGGUGGCCAAGAGAGUGCUGUGGAAAGACUGGUGAGCUCGGAUAUCCUCGCCUCGUCAGGAUCGAUGUUGUAUUUCAUCGUAGCACUCGUGCACCUGCAGAGGAACAGAGAAGCAAAUAGUUCGUAUGGGCAUGUCGUCGAACAGAUGGUGCGCGGGUUUGGGAAGUAGACGGGAUGGGGAGGGCUGGGCAUACAAAUUCGCGGAGGUGAAGUAUGUCGAGGAAGCGUUCGACGAGGAGGGCGUCGUACACGAAGAUGUGGUCGCGGCCGCCGGCGGCAUCGGAGCUCCAUCUCCGCGGCGAAGAAGGGC